rnacentral:rRNA from 1 species
UACGUAGGUGCGAGCGUUGUCCGGAAUUAUUGGGCGUAAAGAGCUUGUAGGCGGUUUGUCGCGUCUGCUGUGAAAAUCCGGGGCUCAACCCCGGACUUGCAGUGGGUACGGGCAGACUAGAGUGUGGUAGGGGAGACUGGAAUUCCUGGUGUAGCGGUGAAAUGCGCAGAUAUCAGGAGGAACACCGAUGGCGAAGGCAGGUCUCUGGGCAGUUACUGACGCUGAGGAGCGAAAGCAUGGGUAGCGAACAGGAUUAGA